rnacentral:rRNA from 1 species
UACAGAGGGUGCAAGCGUUGUUCGGAAUUAUUGGGCGUAAAGCGCGUGUAGGCGGCUUUGCAAGUCGGGUGUGAAAGCCCUCAGCUCAACUGAGGAAGUGCGCCCGAAACUGCAGAGCUUGAGUACCGGAGAGGAUGGCGGAAUUCCCCAAGUAGAGGUGAAAUUCGUAGAUAUGGGGAGGAACACCGGUGGCGAAGGCGGCAUCCUGGACCGGCAUUGACGCUGAGGCGCGAAAGCCAGGGGAGCAAAGCGGG